rnacentral:rRNA from 1 species
ACGUAAGUGGCGAGCGUUAUCCGGAAUCACUGGGCGUAAAGCGUUCGUAGGCGGCUUGGUAAGUCGGAUUUGAAAGCCCGGGGCUCAACUCCGGAUCCGGAUCCGAAACUAUCAGGCUGGAGCGGAUCAGAGGGCAGUGGAAUUCCCGGUGUAGCGGUAAUAUGCGUAGAUAUCGGGAGGAACACCAGUGGCGAAGGCGGCUGCCUGGGAUCCUGCUGACGCUGAGGAACGAAAGCCAGGGGAGCGAACGG